rnacentral:rRNA from 1 species
GACAAACGCUGGCGGCGUGCUUAACACAUGCAAGUCGAACGGAGUACCCUUGAUUGAGGCUUCGGCCAAUUUCUUGGACUACUUAGUGGCGGACGGGUGAGUAACACGUGAGUAACCUGCCCCAAAGAGGAGGAUAACAUACCGAAAGGUAUGCUAAUACUGCAUAACAUAUAUUUAUCGCAUGGUAGAUAUAUCAAAGAUUUAUCGCUUUGGGAUGGACUCGCGGCCGAUUAGGUAGUUGGUGAGGUAACGGCUCACCAAGCCGACGAUCGGUAGCCGGACUGAGAGGUUGAACGGCCACAUUGGGACUGAGACACGGCCCAGACUCCUACGGGAGGCAGCAGUGGGGAAUAUUGCGCAAUGGGGGAAACCCUGACGCAGCGACGCCGCGUGAAGGAUGAAGGUCUUCGGAUUGUAAACUUUUGUCAUCGGGGACGAGAAUGGACGGUACCCGAGAAGGAAGCCACGGCUAACUACGUG